ACUACGGGUGGCAGCAGUGGGGAAUAUUGGGCAAUGGGCGCAAGCCUGACCCAGCAACGCCGCGUGAAGGAAGAAGGCUUUCGGGUUGUAAACUUCUUUUCUGAGGGACGAAGAAAGUGACGGUACCUCAGGAAUAAGCCACGGCUAACUACGUGCCAGCAGCCGCGGUAAUAGGUAGGUGGCAAGCUUUAUCCGGAUUUUUUGGGUGUAAAGGGCGUGUAGGCGGGAAAGUAAGUCAGAUGUGAAAACUCAGGGCUCAACCCUGAGCCUGCAUUUGAAACUGUUUUUCUUGAGUGCUGGAGAGGCAAUUGGAAUUCCGUGUGUAGCGGUGAAAUGCGUAGAUAUACGGAGGAACACCAGUGGCGAAGGCGGAUUGCUGGACAGUAACUGACGCUGAGGCGCGAAAGCGUGGGGAGCAAACAGGAUUAGAUACCCCAGUAGUC
rnacentral:rRNA from 1 species